GUAGUCGACGGCUGCAACGCCUUCGUGCCCAACAUCAAUACCUGCAUCGCCAGCAUCACAUAAGCGCUUCCAAAAAAUGGUAAUAAAACCAUGAAAUUAUAAGCAAAGCAGAUGCUGUUUUAUCAAGAAAACAUACUGCUCUAGCAGUAUCAAUGGGGCUGGACACCAACAAAACCAAAAAGUAGAAUCUGAAGUGCAAGGAUUACAGAUCACUUCAACCAACACCCAUUUUGUCCAAGGUCACAACACCUAGUUAAGCACGUUACUCGUAGAGUAAAAGGGUAUACUAGAUUCGUUGAAAAUGAUGUAACUUAGUCUCCGACCAUAUAAAGUGUACAACACGUCGAUACGAUUCGACCAAAAUUUCUUAGCCACACCGAGUUAAUUAGCGCGGCGGCUAGAAAUUUAAAUAAGCUGAAUAUUAAUAUUUAAUUUAAUAUGAUGAACUUACCACACCGCCAACGGCAAAGGAAAACAUGGGGGAUGCGAAUCCGCCGGCGUCGUUUUGAUCAAAUCUAACUUUAUUCCAUCUAGUUGGCGUGGGGUUUGCCGUACACGUAUACAGCUAGCAAUUCGGUUUUUCGAACCCCAUUCGUUACUUGGGACAGCUGUAAGACACAUCAAUUUGAUAAAAUAAUCUACAACAAUCUAUAGAAAAAAAUAAUAUGCCUUCGGUAAAUCCCUUUUUUGAAUAUGUAGCUAAAUUCCGUAGGGAGCAUCGAGAGCUAAGAGAUCAACGCGUUAUCGCAAAAAGAGCUAGCGAUUCAUGGUAUUCCCUAACUACACAGGAGAAAAAUAUCUACCGCGAACAGGCGCGCGAUGAACAAAAUCGGCGUCGGAGAGUGGCAGUACAGGCGCGCGAUGAACAAAAUCGGCGUCGGAGAGUGGCAGUAAUGCCAGCGAUGCCGUGCCAACAAUGCCGUUAUUACAAAUUGGCAUUUUCUGCACUGCUUUUGUUUGGUGUUGUUUUGGUUUGGUUUGUCUUUUAAGUGAACAAAAUAAUCAGUUUUUUGUCAGAACAGUUACCAUAGUUGAAGUUAUCCCCACAAAAUAUGCGAAAAAUUACCCAAAAAUUAAUUUCCAUAAAUCUUUAAA
rnacentral:sRNA from 1 species